rnacentral:rRNA from 1 species
AUUGAACGCUGGCGGCAGGCCUAACACAUGCAAGUCGAACGAGUGGCGGACGGGAGACUAAUGUCUGUGACAGUGCCCGAUGGAGGGCGAUCGCUAAUGGGAACGGUAGCUAAUACCGCAUACCAUCGGCUAUGACCAGAUGGGUUUAGCUAGGGGGGGGGGUAACGGCACACCUCGGCGACGCUCCGUAGCUGGUCUGAGAGGAUGACCAGUCACACUGGAACUGAGACACGGUCCAGACUCCUACGGGAGGCAGCAGUGGGGAAUAUUGGACAAUGGGCGAAAGCCUGAUGCAGCCAUGCCGCGUGUGUGAAGAAGGCCUUCGGGUUGUAAAGUACUUUCAGUGAGGAGGCGUUACUCGCAGAAGAAGCACCGGCUAACUCCGUGCCAGCAGCCGCGGUAAUUC